rnacentral:rRNA from 1 species
CCUACGGGAGGCAGCAGUGGGGAAUAUUGGACAAUGGGCGAAAGCUGAUCCAGCAAUGCCGCGUGAGUGAUGAAGGCCUUAGGGUUGUAAAGCUCUUUUACCAGGGAUGAUAAUGACAGUACCUGGAGAAUAAGCUCCGGCUAACUCCGUGCCAGCAGCCGCGGUAAUACGGAGGGAGCUAGCGUUGUUCGGAAUUACUGGGCGUAAAGCGUACGUAGGCGGUUAUUCAAGUCAGGGGUGAAAGCCUGGAGCUCAACUCCAGAACUGCCCUUGAAACUAGAUAACUAGAAUCUUGGAGAGGUGAGUGGAAUUCCGAGUGUAGAGGUGAAAUUCGUAGAUAUUCGGAAGAACACCAGUGGCGAAGGCGACUCACUGGACAAGUAUUGACGCUGAGGUACGAAAGCGUGGGGAGCAAACAGGAUUAGAUACCCUGGUAGUCCACGCCGUAAACGAUGAUAACUAGCUGUUCGGGCUCUACGAGCUUGAGUGGCGCAGCUAACGCAUUAAGUUAUCCGCCUGGGGAGUACGGUCGCAAGAUUAAAACUCAAAGGAAUUGACGGGG